CUUCUUCUCCUCUCAUUUUCUCUUCUUUUUUUUUCCUUCCUCUUUCUUCUCUCACUUUGUCUUCU
rnacentral:ribozyme from 12 species